rnacentral:lncRNA from 1 species
GACAUGACAAUGGAUGAAGUGCGAGAGUUCGAACGAGCCACUCAGGAAGCCACCAACAAGAAGAUUGGCAUUUUCCCACCAGCCAUUUCUAUCUCCAGCAUCGCCCUACUGCCUUCUGUAGUGCGAAGCGCCCCUUCUAGCUCCCUGUUCACCCCUCUCUCCACAGAUGGCCCAGAAUUUCUGUCCAUUCCCAAAGACCGGCCUGGAAAAAUGUUUGCUCCAGAGACGCUCACACUUCCAGAUCUGGAGAAAAAAAGC